rnacentral:rRNA from 1 species
AUUGAGCGCUGGCGGCAUGCUUUACACAUGCAAGUCGAACGGCAACGCGGAGACGCUUGCUUCUCUGUCGGCGAGUGGCGAACGGGUGAGUAUAGCAUCGGAACGUGCCAAGUAGUGGGGGAUAACCAAACGAAAGUUUGGCUAAUACCGCGUAAGCUCCAAGGCGGAAAGUAGGGGACCUAAAUAAGGCCUUACGCUAUUUGAUCGGCCGAUGUCGGAUUAGCUAGUUGGUGGGGUAAUGGCUCACCAAGGCAAUGAUCCGUAGCGGGUCUGAGAGGACGAUCCGCCACACUGGGACUGAGACACGGCCCAGACUCCUACGGGAGGCAGCAGUGGGGAAUUUUGGACAAUGGGGGAAACCCUGAUCCAGCCAUGCCGCGUGUAUGAAGAAGGCCUUAGGGUUGUAAAGUACUUUUGUUAGGGAAGAAAAGCUAGUUUUUAAUAAAAAGUAGUGAUGACGGUACCUAAAGAAUAAGCACCGGCUAACUACGUG